UACGUAGGGGGCAAGCGUUGUCCGGAUUUAUUGGGCGUAAAGAGCGUGUAGGCGGCCAGACAGGUCAGCUGUGAAAACUCGAGGCUCAACCUCGAGACGUCGGUUGAAACCGUUUGGCUAGAGUCCGGAAGAGGAGAGUGGAAUUCCCGGUGUAGCGGUGAAAUGCGCAGAUAUCGGGAGGAACACCAGUGGCGAAGGCGGCUUCCUGGCCUGUUCUUGACGCUGAGGCGCGAAAGCUAGGGGAGCAAACGGG
rnacentral:rRNA from 1 species